UGCCCCCAACCACCGCGCUGCGAUGUUGCUUGCUCGCCUGGUCGCCGCCUUGUCUCCCCCGACCUCGAUACCGUCUGGGGCGGCGCCGGCACCACCACACAGCGGUGGUGCGCCAGUGGAUGGGCGCGGGAGGCGGCAUGGUCAAGGAUCCUGAGGCGGCGAGGUUCCCUGCAUCGACGCCAGUCGCAGGGAGUCGUCGCCAGGUGCUCUGACCGUGCCGCUGGAGAUAAUGCUGCGAGCUCAACCAGUUCACGGCCACAGACACUACCUGGAAGGAGACGUCGGGAUUGUUAUUGACUGGGAGGAGCAGGACGCAGCAGGAGAGGCAGUAAGCACCUUGACAAUGACAGCCGUGACCCUGCUUAUUUGGUUGUCCUUCGUAUGUCGCCUAGGUUGGUCUGUGGGAAUUGACAUGCAUUGUUGUCCCAUUUUACUGAUUUAUUUGAUAAAUAUGUGACCACAUGAGUAACCUAUUGUUUGUUUCAGUACCAUUUUACUGAUUUAUUUGAUAAGUAUGUGACCAUAUGAGUAACCUAUUGUUUGUUUUAGCACUACCAGACACCGCAUUCCUAUUUAACAGGGAAUUGCUUAUCUAUGAUUCAGGCUAGAAUAAUUGUUUUCUACUAACAAUUGAAGUUCUACUGUAUGCUUUAGAUUUGUCAAUGAAAAUGGCCAUUCCCGUUCUGAUGUUCAUUAUGUUUAUUGAAGUCCUCACCAUCUUUAUAUUCAUUACAUAUUCUCAAUAGCUUAUUUCUUAAUACCUAAAAUGAAUACCAGGAGCUCAUUCUUACCUCUCCAAUUUAUCCUUAUUUGAGUAUUAAGGGCACCUACAUUUCUUUGGUUCUGUAUGACUGAUCAAAUUAACACACACCUCAAUCAUAGUAAAAUCUGAAAGGAGAUGUAAAAGAAUCAAAGAAAAGUAGAGAUGCACAAUAUUUUUUGCUUUUGAGGGAUUGUUCUUGGGUUCAGCUUUUGCUGGCAUGUUGUUAUUAUAGAGUUACCCUAUCUCUUUGAAUCGUCAUAUGUACUCCAGACUCUUAUAGAUUAUGCAACUAGCUAAUGGUUGGAACUUUAAUACUUAGCUUUAUUUACAGGUAGCACAACCUCAUGUUAGUUGCCAUUUUAUUGCUACAGAUAUGGUGUUGUUCUGAUUGUAUAUGUGAUGAUUUUAUCCAUGUGUAUGUAUGUGGUCUUCAAAGUUGUUGAAAGAUUGAAAGCGUAAGCAAGUUCGUCAAAUUCCUUCGGUAAGUCAUAUAUUCUUCUGUCUCUUUCCUAUGUUUUAGAGGUAUAUAGUAAGAAGAUAUGAGGUAGAAUAUUUCCUUUUCAGUAUAUCUGAAAUUAUAUGGGAGAGAUUACUAGCUCACACAUAGAGUUCGGUUAUUAGGUUUCUAAAUAAGUUCAGCCCUAGAGCACAUAUUUUUGCAUCCAUUGCUUAUUUAAUCCAUUGGUAUAUAUUUUCUCCGGUUCAUAUAGUAUGUUUACAUUUGACUUGGAAUUGUCUGUACUUUUGUUCUGCUUUUGUUUCAAGGUACUUCCAAAGAAAUCAAUAUCCAUCUGUCCAUGGAAAACUCGAAGAAGGCUCGAUUGGCACAUGAAGCUCUUAAAUACUUGAGAGCCUUUUACAACAAGGUCCUACAGGACUACACCUAUGAUAGGUUGCAGUUGGUUGAACAAGGUCUUAUAAGACUACAUACAUAUAUUACACCGGUUGUCCCAGCUCAUAGUUGGUUGUCAUCAGUCCGGUUGGUUGAACAAGGUCCUAUAAGACUACAUACAUAUAUUGCUACAGAUA